ACACACUUCUUCAUAUGCCCAUAGGGAGCUGCCCGAACUAUGGAAUGUUAAGAAGUGUGUGU
rnacentral:pre_miRNA from 1 species